rnacentral:rRNA from 1 species
UUACCCCUACGGGACGCAGCAGUGGGGAAUAUUGCACAAUGGGGGAAACCCUGAUGCAGCGACGCCGCGUGAGUGAGGAAGUAUUUCGGUAUGUAAAGCUCUAUCAGCAGGGAAGAAAAUGACGGUACCUGACUAAGAAGCCCCGGCUAAUUACGUGCCAGCAGCCGCGGUAAUACGUAGGGGGCAAGCGUUAUCCGGAUUUACUGGGUGUAAAGGGAGCGUAGACGGAGGAG